ACCAACGCCGAUAGCACGUUAAAUGCACCAGUUCCCAAUGGAUCACUCUAGUUCAGCAACGUUGUGCUUGGUUGGUAUCCGGAUGGGUGACCAUCUGGGUAAUCGCGUUCUGCUGGAU
rfam:Asian citrus Psyllid, Diaphorina citri - Florida Strain, whole genome shotgun sequence.